rnacentral:rRNA from 1 species
UGGGGAAUUUUGGACAAUGGGGGAAACCCUGAUCCAGCCAUCCCGCGUGUGCGAUGAAGGCCUUCGGGUUGUAAAGCACUUUUGGCAGGAAAGAAACGUCAUGGGUUAAUACCCCGUGAAACUGACGGUACCUGCAGAAUAAGCACCGGCUAACUACGUGCCAGCAGCCGCGGUAAUACGUAGGGUGCAAGCGUUAAUCGGAAUUACUGGGCGUAAAGCGUGCGCAGGCGGUUCGGAAAGAAAGAUGUGAAAUCCCAGAGCUCAACUUUGGAACUGCAUUUUUAACUACCGGGCUAGAGUGUGUCAGAGGGUGGUGGAAUUCCGCGUGUAGCAGUGAAAUGCGUAGAUAUGCGGAGGAACACCGAUGGCGAAGGCAGCCUCCUGGGAUAACACUGACGCUCAUGCACGAAAGCGUGGGGAGCAAACAGG